UUAACCUUCGUUUCCCUGGCUCUUGUAGC
rnacentral:piRNA from 1 species